rnacentral:rRNA from 1 species
UACGUAGGUGGCGAGCGUUGUCCGGAAUUACUGGGUGUAAAGGGCGUGUAGGCGGGGAUACAAGUCAGAUGUGAAAUUCCACGGCUUAACUGUGGCGCUGCAUCUGAAACUGUAUCUCUUGAGUGCUGGAGAGGAAAGCGGAAUUCCUAGUGUAGCGGUGAAAUGCGUAGAUAUUAGGAGGAACACCAGUGGCGAAGGCGGCUUUCUGGACAGUAACUGACGCUGAGGCGCGAAAGCGUGGGGAGCAAACAGG